rnacentral:rRNA from 1 species
GACGAACGCUGGCGGCGUGCUUAACACAUGCAAGUCGAGCGGAGCGGCGAACGGGUGAGUAACGCGUGAGUAACUGCCCCCCUCUCUGGGAUAACAGUUGGAAACGGCUGCUAAUACCUGAUAGUGGGGGAUGACUCGGGUCCUAUCAGCUUGUUGGUGGGGUAGUGGCCUACCAAGGCGACGACGGGUAGCCGGCCUGCGGGGGCGACCGGCCACAUGGGGCUGAGGUACGGCCCAAACUGCGACGGGAGGCAGUAGUGGGGAAUAUGGCACAAUGGGGGAAACCCUGAUGCAGAAACGCCGCGGGCGGGAUGACGGCCUUCGGGGUGUAAACCGCGUUCAGCCAUGACGCGGUAGUGGCAGAAGAAGCACCGGCUAACUACGUGCCAGCAGCCGCGGUAAUUC